rnacentral:rRNA from 1 species
UACGUAGGGUGCAAGCGUUAAUCGGAAUUACUGGGCGUAAAGCGUGCGCAGGCGGUUGUGCAAGACAGAUGUGAAAUCCCCGGGCUUAACCUGGGAAUUGCAUUUGUGACUGCACGGCUAGAGUGUGUCAGAGGGGGGUAGAAUUCCACGUGUAGCAGUGAAAUGCGUAGAUAUGUGGAGGAAUACCGAUGGCGAAGGCAGCCCCCUGGGAUAACACUGACGCUCAAGCACGAAAGCGUGGGGAGCAAACAGG